GUGCCAGCCGCUGCGGUAACACCGGCAGCGCAAGUGGUGACCGCUUUUAUUGGGCCUAAAGCGUUCGUAGCCGGUUUGGUAAGUCUUUGGGUAAAUCCUCCAGCUUAACUGGAGGAAUUCCGGAGAUACUGCCAGACUUGGAGUUGAGAGAGGUCAGAGGUACCUCUGGGGUAGGGGUGAAAUCCUAUAAUCCUAGGGGGACCACCAGUGGCGAAGGCGUCUGACUAGAGCAAGCUCGACGGUGAGGGACGAAAGCCAGGGGCGCGAACGGGAUUAGAUACCCCGGUAGUCC
rnacentral:rRNA from 1 species